rnacentral:lncRNA from 1 species
UGAAUUUACAGGAUAAAAUCUUUAAUUGGAAAAUAAAAGAGGAGCACAGCUAUGACAUCAAGACAGCCCUUAAAAAAGGAAAGUAAGAGUGUUCUGGAAAUCAUGGAAAGAAAUACAGGGAGACACAGAAUUUGGGCAAAAUAAUGAAAGUUUUACUUGCAAGCAGGUGGGACCAUCAGAAACCGGUCUGGUCAGUGUCCACACACUGCUCUUUGUUCAUCUCCUCUUUUAUACCUUUGUUAUUCAUUAUCUCAUCCCUAGUGGUCUUUGUUAAGAAAGUAAAAUUCCAAUUCCUGGUUAAUGGUUAGACACAGGUGGUUUCUGUUACUGAUUACAGUCCUAAACCCAUGACAGGUAAGGCACAUAUAUCACAAGUUUGCCCAAGCAUUGCAACAUUUUUCUUUGGAAUUAGGAUGUUACCUGUAAGAAGGCUAUAGAUCAAAAAGAGUCAUAUAACCUUCACUUUAAACAAGCAGAGCAAUGGGCUAAGGCAAGUUUUAAAGUGAUACACUACCUACUUUGCUUUUACAACUACUUUAAUAACUAAUCUACUAAGCAGUCUAAAACUUUUUCCCCAUCAUUCCUCCCUCUGUUUACUUCAGGAUAAUUCUCCUAUCCACUAUGUUUUGUCUAGUUUAUCUACAUUUUUUUAGCACUAGCAUUUGAUAGUGUUGAGCAGCAGCAAUGUGCUACUGUAUAAAUUUUGAAAUCCACUGAAUGACAAAGGGACCAAUCAUUAAUAUUAAUAUUAUAACAAGAAGGGGACUCAGAAGAGGUCCUAUCUAACUUUUCCAUCCUGCCAAAGUAAAGUUAAUUCCAUAGGAUGGUUCUCCUAUACCAAAGUCAUUAUCAAGAGCUUUGAUCUAAUCUUUAAGUUUGUCUAGUGAUUCUUGUAUUCCACCAGAUUUAUUAGAGUAAUAACAGCAUAUUUCACUGAGAAAUAAGCAAGUCCCUCCUUUCUGAGCUGUUAGCAAAUUGAGAGCAUGGCUAUUCUGUAAUACAACAUUGGCCAGUGAAUCUGUUAAGGUUUCUAAAGCCUGAAUUGUGUCUCAAAUUUCCUCAAGAUCUUUUCUUUUUUUUUUUUUUUUGUUAAAUUCUUUUAUUGGUACAUUUUAAGUAUACAACACAAUUACAU